rnacentral:rRNA from 1 species
AUGAACGCUGGCGGCGUGCCUCAUCCAUGCCAGUCGAGCGAACGGACGAGAAGAUUGCUUCUCUGAUGUUAGCGGCGGCCGGGUGAGUAACACGUGGAUAACAUACCUAUAAUACUGGGAUAACUUCGGGAAACCGGAGCUAAUACCGGACAAUAUUUUGAACCGCAUGGUUCAAAAGUCUACGACGGUCUUGCUGUCCCUUCUACAUGUAUCUGCGUUGCAUUAGCUAGUUGGUAAGGUAACGGCUUACCAAGGCAACGAUGCAUAGCGGACCUGAGAGGGUGAUCGGCCACACUGGAACUGAGACACGGUCCAGACUCCUACGGGAGGCAGCAGUAGGGAAUCUUCCGCAAUGGGCGAAAGCCUGACGGAGCAACGCCGCGUGAGUGAUGAAGGUCUUCGGAUCGUAAAACUCUGUUAUUAGGGAAGAACAGAUGGGUAAGUAACUGUGCACAUCUUGACGGUACCUAAUCAGAAAGCCACGGCUAACUACGUG